rnacentral:misc_RNA from 1 species
GUGAUUAAAAUCGAGCGUGUUCUUCAUUGACCGCUCACCCUUCUCACCAUCCACAUACACCUGUGCACUGUUUAGCCUGAGCCGGUUUUUUCCGGUCCAGGUUAUCAUUUCAUACAAACUCUAGUCUUAUGAAUGUAAACGUUUUUUAAAUAACAUAAUA